rnacentral:lncRNA from 1 species
UCUACAUUGCAGGAAUUUCCCCUUGUUUUUAAAGGCAGCUUCCAUUGUCACAGCAAGUUUGAAUACUGCAUUUCCCUCCUUUCCUUUUUUUUUUUUUUUUUGAGACGGAGUUUCGCUGUCUCCCAGGCGGGAGUGCAGGGCCGCGACCUCGGCUCACUGCAGGCCCCGCCCCCCGGGGUUCACGCCAUUCUCCUGCCUCAGCUUCCGGAGUAGCUGGGACUACAGGCGCCCGCCACCUCGCCCGGCUAAUUUUUUGUAUUUUUAGUAGAGACGGGGUUUCACUGUGUUAUCCAGGAUGGUCUCCAUCUCCUGACCUCGUGAUCCGCCCGCCUCGGCCUCCCAAAGUGCUGGGAUUACAGGCGUGAGCCACCGCGCCCGGCCCCUCCUUUACUUCUUGGCACCUUUAGAAGAUUCUGACUGCUGUUCACUUAAGUGGGAACAGCACUGCGUGCACAAUGCUCACUGUGCAUCUGCCCGUGUUCCGAGUCGCAUCCAAUAUGACUUCCUGGCAGCGGGCUGGCGUCUGCGUAUUGUUACUGCGGUGGUUGUCUACCUGAGCCUUGUCUACUGUGAGCCGGAACACCUACCUCCCCCUCUGGAGAGCAGGAAUUGGAGGUAG